rnacentral:tRNA from 1 species
GCUUUCUUAGUUUAACUGGUAAAAUGGUAGUCUUGUAAACUAUAGUAGUAAGUUCAAGUCUUACAGAAAGCA